UUGUACAUUCAAAAAACAUCCGUUUUGCAUUGAAUGUUCAUCAAUGCAUUUUAUUUUUGAAAAAAAAUCCAAUUAAAGCAUUCCAAAACUUCCAUUUUACGUUGAUUUUUCAAAAAUCAUUCCAUUUUCAGCAUUGCACUCACUUUUUCUUUGCUUAACAUCAUUGGAACUUCACUUUUUCAUGUAUGCAUUUUAUUUUGAAAAAAAAUCCAAUUAUAGCAUAAUCAUCCCAUUUUUAGCAUUGUACUUUAACUUUUCUUUCUAUAACAUCAUUGAAACAUCACAGUUUUUAUUAAUCUAUGCAUUUUACCUUGAAAAAAACUUCCAAUUAAAGAAUCCUACUCUAAAAACAUGCAUUUUACAUGAAUUCAAAAAUCAGCCCAUUUUUAGCAUUGUACUUUAACUUUUUAUUAAUCUUAUGCCCAGCUAGCCUGUUGCUUCCCUCUUCUUUUCCCUUCUUGAAACAACGCGUCACUUAACUUCUCCUCUUCCGCCUUUUUUUUUUCUUGAAAUCGAAGCCUCUCACCCCAAAUAUCAACUUAUACGCUCCAACCCCACUGAAGAGAAGACUUGAAAUAUUCUUUGGUUUGAUCUCAGCUAAUCGAACGUCCAGAAUCUUGAAGCAAAGCAGAGAAAUAACGAGUGAUUUUCAUCCUCUUUUUUCUUCGACAUGUCUGCUUUCACCCAAAUCGACGCCUCUCACAGGCGAUGGUCCUUGUGGACGUAGGGUCAGUCUGAUUCCACUAUUUGUUUCCCAAUUUCACAAUCUUGAUGUAUUUUUGAACCUUGUUGGUUUUAAUUUGUUAUUUGGGAAUGCAACAGGUUCUUCUAAGUUCUGAGCUCAUACAGAUAGGUUCUGAAGAGCGUUUAUUGCUAAUUAUAGAGGUAUAUUUUGUUUCUCUUCAUCUUCUCAGACUUAUAUGGGAUAUAUGAUAUCAACCACCUAAUCCUUGGACUAUGGGGAUUCUUGGAUUAGUUGCUGAAAUACAUGCAAUGCCACAUUUCAGUUCUUAUGUUUUCAAUUGAAGUAUGUUUGAAUCUAUGUAUGUGUAGCACAUGUAUAAUUGUGAUUUUGUACAUAUUCUCAUGUUGGUUUUCCCUUUUAGAUAUUUUUCAAGAAUCUUGAUUUGGACAUGAAGGACAGGGUUAGGAAAAUUGAAGGAAACCCUGAUUUCUGUUGCUUCAUCUCAACAAAAUACUGUAAAUCAAGGUGAACUACCACAUAUAUUAUACACCAGGUUUGUUAUGGUUUUGUUUCUAGAGUAUUCAAGCUAUUUCACUAUCUGAUUUUCUGGUGCCUUUUAUUUUGGUGGACAGCAUGCAUUUCCCUACUGCUCCUUUGGUUGAAGAUAUGAAUAUGCUUUUAUUUUUCUCUUUUUAUUUGCUGAAAAACUUAUUGAUCCUUUACUUUUGCAGGGUGCUUCUAAUGGUAGUGGAUAAGGCAAGGGUAUUAAAGAAAUAGUUUCUACUAUAAAUAUUGUCGAGAAAAGUGUUUCAAGCAACAAUGGCACUUUUUUUGAAGGUGUCAUUCUCAUUAAGUUAGUUCUUUUUUUUUUUAAUCCUCCAAAUUCUAAUGAGAACUAUAGCCAUACUAGCUUGAAAUCUGUCUUAUAUUACUAGCAAGGUUCAUUGUUAAACAUUUUCUGUUUUGUUCAUGUGUGAUUGAUUGUGUAUUGUUUUCAUUUUUCAGAUAAUUAAGAAACUCUCAAUACCAUGGUUUGAAUAAUGCAAGUGGAUCCCUUGAACAUGCCUUCAUUGAGAAGCUUCGUUUGAUAAAUGCUAAUAUUAUACUUCUAAAAACAAAAGUUGUGAAUAUAUUUAUUUAACUGUACAAGUUUUUUCCAUUUAUAAUCACAGCUAUGGUUUUAACUGUUAUAUGAUAUGAUGCACAGGGCCAACUACAUAAUCUUUUUAUCUCUCUUGUUGAAGCAUUGAAAAUGAGUGAUGCAAGAGUAGUAUUGUCUGCUCUUCACAAUGUCAUUCACAUUUUAUUCAAGGUCUAUGAUUUUGCUCCUAAUUGCUACAAUCCACCUGUGUCAUCAAUUUUUUUUUUUACAUAUGUUCUAGAAAAAAAAAUCAUUCCAAUAAGGUCCUUUAACUAGUAAGUUAUUGGUGACAUGGGGUCUAUGCAUUUGACAAUUCUAUGACCUUUAUUAUAUUUACCUUUGAUGACGUGUCAAAUACUUNUAGCUAUUUUUUUGCUUAUAAUCAUCUGAUAAGUGCUAAUAUUAGACUUCUAAAAACAAAAGCUGUGAAUAUAUUUAUUUCACUGUACAAGUUUUUCCAUUUAUAAUCACAGCUAUGGUUUUAACUAUUAUAUCAACACAGGGGCAACAACAUAAUCUUUUAUCUCUCUUGUUGAAACACUGAAGAUGAGUGAUGCAAGAGUAGUAUUGUCUGCUCUUCACAAUGUCAUUCAGAUUUUAUCCAAUUGCUAAAAUCCACCUGAGUCACUUGUUGACUAGUUUAACUGGUAACUUUUUGGUGACAUGGUGUCUAGUUGGUAUGCAUUUGAUGACGUGUCAAAUACAUGUCAUGCCAUGUCACCUCACCAAAACUUACCGGUUGGUUGGUUAAACUGGGAAUAGAAUGUCACCAAAACUCUAUGAUUCUUUGAUGGAACAGGUGACACAGCAUCCUGUUCUUUUCUGAACGUGUUUCCUAAUAAUUAAUUAUUCUCAUCUUACUACAUCAUUUUUAACUCCUUAAUUUAUAUUAAUUUCCCAGGUGUCUAUGCUGUUUAUAUUUUAAUGACUGGUUUUCCACUUUUCACAGUGGAAUUGGACAGAGGGUUUCUUUUUGCCAGUUUGAUUCAACCAUUUGUUUCCCAAUUUCACAUUUACUUGAGGUAUUUUUGAAUCCUUUUGGUUUUAAUUUAACUGACUUUUACUAGAGCUGUGAAGUGCCUACGUUUCAUUAAACUUACACUUUUAUUGGGCUUGUGACCUUUUUUUUUUAUUAGAUUAGGGAUUCUGUUAUGGAAUACUAUAAUUGUAGGUUGUUUCUGCGUUUUUAAUUUUCAUGAACGCAAACUAAUGUUUUACUCUUUUUUACAGGAUGUUGCCACCUGAAACCAUGGUGGGCCCCUUCAAACCCCAACCUCAUCUGGAAACCAACAUCUCCAAAGGUUAAUUUCUUGAAACCAAUUACAUCAAUAUUUAUCCAAAUAUAUAGAAAGCAAUUUUGAUAAGACUUGUUAGUUUUAUAUUCAAGAAAAAAGAUUGCACUAUUGCAUUGUGUUUUCAGUUUUUCCCUUAUUAAAGUUAUGCUUCCAGAACUCUUAUCUAUGACCUUUAUUAUAUUUACCUUUAAUGACGUGUCAAAUACUUGCCAUGUCACCUCCCCAAAACUUACUGGUUGGUUAAACUAGGAAUAUAGCAUUUUCCAGUGGAGCCAGUUUUCAAACAACCUAAAGAAAGAAAAGCUAAUGGUAUAUGAUUCUUUCUUGUUAAUGUUAUCCACUUUAUGCUCUCUAACCUAAUACUUAUUCUCAUCUUAUUACAUCAUAUUUCUUCAUUUUUAAGACCUUAAUUGAUCAAUCUAAUCACUAUUAUUUCAUUCUUGUAAAACCUUAGAUUCUAUGCUUUAUUCGGUUUGACCUAUUUUUAUUUUUCUUUCGGUUAUGGAAUACAAUUCUAGGUUGUUUCUGCCUUUUUUUUUUCAUCAGACAAACUAAUUUACUUUUUUUACAGGAUGUUGCCACCUGAAACCAUGGUGUUUUAAAAAUUUAAUCAAUUACAUCAAUAUGUAUCCAAAUAUAUAUAUAGAAAGCAAUUUUGAUAAGACAUCUUAGUUUUAUAUUCAAGAAAAAAGAUUGUACUAUUGCAUUGUGUUUUCAGUUUCUCCCUUAUUAAAGUUAUGCUUCCAGAACUCUUAUUUAUUACAACAUUUUAAUUUAAUUUAAAAAAAUUUACCCAUUACAUUGAUUAUGUAUGACUUGUGUUUGUAGGAGCUAUCAUCACAUGCUAUGGGAAAGACAGAGAAGAAGUUUUCUGCCACCAAUUAUAUUUAUAUUCAGUG
rnacentral:lncRNA from 1 species